rnacentral:rRNA from 1 species
ACGAACGCUGGCGGCGUGCUUAACACAUGCAAGUCGCACGGGAUCCAAAGGCUUUUUGUUUUUGGUGAGAGUGGCGAACGGGUGAGUAACACGUGAGUAACCUGCCCCCUUCUUUUGGAUAACCGCAUGAAAGUGUGGCUAAUACAGGAUAUUCCAGGCUGGUCGCAUGAUUGGUUUGGGAAAUGGUUUGGUCUGGUGGGGGAUGGGCUCGCGGCCUAUCAGCUUGUUGGUGGGGUGAUGGCCUACCAAGGCGGUGACGGGUAGCCGGCCUGAGAGGGUGGGCGGUCACACUGGGAAUGAGAUACGGCCCAGACUCCUACGGGAGGCAGCAGUGGGGGAUUAUGCACAAUGGGCGCAAGCCUGAUGCAGCGACGCCGCGUGAGGGAUGAAGGCCUUCGGGUUGUAAACCUCUUUCGCUGGGUUGAAAGGCCAUGCUUUGGGUGUGGUUGAUUUGAACUGGUAAAGAAGUACCGGCUAACUACGUG